rnacentral:lncRNA from 1 species
AUUAUGUUUCUAAACAGUUUCAAGAGUUGUGUGCAUUUGCCUCCUAUAACGGUUGCACAUAUGCAUUACUGUUGUAGAUGUCCUAUGUAUGUCCUAAAUGGAAGGCUAAAUAUUUUGGAAGGUUUAAGAUAUAAAAGGUCCUCAGGGGAGCCUGACAGGAGAGGGUCUUGGCAUAUUCAAAGAACAAGAAGAUUUGAAUCUGUAAAACCUAGAGAAGUCAUCACAGGAAAGGACAACAAUAACAGAGUAAAUGCCACUUAUGGCUGGCGCUAUUUUGAACUUCUAUUGUUUUCAUUAUCCUGAGUUGAACCUGGGGCCUUGCAUUUGUGAGGCCAGCACUAUAUUGCUUGAGCCACACUCCCAGCCCCCUUUUAAAGUCUGACACUAAGCUUGUGAUCCCCCUGCCUCAGCCUCAGAAGUAGUUCGGAUUACAGUUGUGCAUCCUCAUCAUGCCUGGCAGGCGCUCACUUUUAUCCAAUAGUUCUGUGGAUGUGAUCAAUGAAUCGGAGAGCACGGAGAAGUCAUCCAGCUGUCAUGCAUGAAUCACAGAGUCUGUGUGGAGGCCAGAAGACAACCUGCAAACGUCGGCUCUCUCCUACCAGUUACAUUUAGGGAUUUGAACUCAGAUCCUCAGGCUUGGAGGCAAGCGCCUUUACGCACUGGUCCAUCCUGCUGGCCUCAUAGAUAAUACAUUACAACACAAGUCCAUGAAUCUUUAUUCUUUUAAAUGGCCUGUUUAAAAAAAAACCCAGCUUAACUUGUUGGCCCCAUACAAAGCAGAUGACAUAAUAUCAGCCUUCAGAGUCCCCAGGUGACAGUGGACAAGCUACCCUAUUAACAUCAGUCCUUCAGAUGGCUGCGUAGAACCCAGUUGGGUACCCUGAGAGAAUCACACCUGAGUAUGUGAAACAGAAGAGUUCAAAGCACGAUCCGUGAGAAAUCUCCAGCAGAGACGAUAGCUUCAGUCCACAAUCAUGCUGGUAUCUUGAGUUGAAUUACCACUCUUGAAAAUGAUCAUGGUAAGCCACAGAGACAGAGCUUCGGAUCUGCGUCAGUGACAAGUUUAUUUAGCCUGUAAUUAGUUAAGGUUGUCUUAUAUUGGCCAUCAAACUGCAACACAGGCAUCUGCUUAGGGAAGCUGACGUGUGUAUCUGUGCUGUUUUCGAUUUGGGUUGUACAUUUUGAAAAAAAAAAAGUUUUAGAAAUCUUUUGACAUGCGUUUACCGUGUGCUUGUGGGUGAAGUGGAAACUUAGGAGUUCUUUGGAAGAUCAGCUGGCUAGUGUUUUGCUGGGCCAAACACCGGAAGGAGUUUAACACUUUGUGUUAACGAGGACACAGGUGUGAAAGGCUAAGGCCGAGUCGAGAAGAGGAAUGUUUUGCUGAAGCAGACAUAGGAGAGAGGAUGUUCUGCUCAAGCAAGCAUGCGAAAGGACAUGUGAUGAAGGAUUCUUCGCUAAUGACACACAUGUAAUCGGUCCACUUUACAUUGCAUGGUCGAGCUGCAUUUCUUGGGAUGCCAUAGAAAGAAAUGAACACAAAACCUUCCUGGUGGUGCGCUGCAGUUUGUGUCUGCUUCUGAGGACUCCGGCUGAUUGGAUGCAGGUACUGAGGUAAGGAACAUGGAGGACACAUGACAGAAAUAGAGCUGGUAAUCACGUUGCUGUGCGAAACCUCACGUCUUCACUUAUCUUUGAUUCCCUGAGAGAGGCACAGCCAAGAACAUCUCCUGAUGUUCGCCUUGGUUCCUCUUGCUGACUUGAACCAAAGCUGAGGCCCAGCUGUCUCUGCCAGGGUCACUCCUGUUGCUAACUCAACUCUACCGAACUGGACUGGACUGGACUGCUGGUGUGAAGUGUUUGACGAGUGGCCCGAGCCUGUUAAUCUGUGAACUGCUGAUUUCCAGACAAUACAGAUGGGAAUUGCUCCAAAGAUCCUUUAUAAACAAGAAGAGAAGAACGGCUACCAGAAAUAGUUACUGUUGAUCUUAACAACGAACCAGCACCAUUUGCAAAGGUGAUUUGCUUACAUGGAAACUGUCUUGCAACACUUCAAGUGUCCCACUUGAUAUAGCCUGGAGUCAUCUGAAAAGAGAGUCUCACUUGAGAGAUUUUUUUCUCUCAAAUCAGAGUGGCUUGUGGGGUCCCUGGGCAUGGCCAUCUUCAAUGGAUAGUGAGAGGUCCCCUGAGGCUUGGCUGAACUCAGAGCUGGUGAAAAGAUCCUCUUACUGAUGAGUCUUAGCACCACGGAGAACAGCUGGGGAAGGACUUUAACAUUGGAGUCCUGCAGAGCCACGGGACAUGGAGGACUAUAUGCACAAGAUUCGCCCCCAUGCCAUCUCCUAUUAGAAAACAAACAGGCAUCUAAGGUUUACUGGAUAGAUUUCUGUCAACUUGACACGAUAAAGUCAUCCAAGUGGAUUAUCCUCAACCAAGAAAAGGCCUCCGAAAGAUCAAGCUGCAGGCAAGCAUGAGUGCAGUUGCAUCUAAGGCCAGCAGAGGGCGGUAGAUGACCGGAUCCUGAAAUUCCAGAUGCUCAUUGCCAGGACGGGAUGAACAAAUGAAAAUUCAAUCCGACCCUAAUGGUUCUCAGACAUCACAGUGAAAGGCAUGCCAGUGUGUGGGGGAGAAAAGAGAGUUAGUUAGACCUUUUCAGAACAGCUGCGAUAAAACCUCUAGUUCCGAUGAUGUCAUGUCUGCGGGGCUCAGAAUCUAUCACCCAGUUUGGUGUCUCACUGAAGCAUGACCAAUGGAAAAAUAAUCCAUCAGUUAAGAAGAAAUAGAAGAAAACAUCUGUAGAAGGCUGUCCAGGUGGUACUGGGCAGGCCUGAGGCAGACCUCAGGCGUGAACCAAGUGUCUUCUGCUGUUCCAUGGCUUCUUUCUGGCCACUUGGUUUGCAACUAGACUCUGCCAUUACUCGGACCUGCCAAGACACAGCCAACGAAACUUUCUACAGAGGUUUUCAUGGAGAAUCGAUUUGACAAAUGCCAUCCUAUGCAUCCAGAGAUUGUUAGGAACGACCCUGUACCCAGAAAAGAGAAAUCAUGGAAAAUAGCGCUGCAGAGACUUAGACUCAGGAAGGGUGGGGCCAUCUCAGCUCCAGCCUUGAUGGGCAUUUGAAACCUCUGGUUUCCUUUUGACUCAUGUGGGGAUUAUGUAAUCUAGAUCUAACAUGAUUAGGAAUCUGAAAUGUGCGGCAUGGUGUUAGGCACAUGGUAAGUUCUGAAUUUCAAUGCAUCUUUCUAGACACCCCUCACCUCUAGCUGUGGGAUGGUAGGUUGUGUAGGUGUCGGGAAAAACUGAGAGCUGGGUCGACACUCCUUCUGGAGUAAGCUCAGCUCUCUGUUUAGUUCUGAUCACUCUUAAGACAUAGCAAGACUUAAUUAGCCUUUUGGAAGACUUGGGUGGAGGGCAAUGGGGACCCUUAGUGGGUUUACAAAAGAGAGAAAGGAAACAUGAGUGAUGAUGCUGGACGUGAUAAAGGUGACAUAAAAAGAAGAGGUAACAGACAGGGAGGAUAUGGGGAUGAAGCGAGACACACAGGACAAAGGAGAAAGAACUAAGAUGAUGAAAGAGAAACAGAGAGAGAGAGAGAGAGAGAGAGAGAGAGAGAGAGAGAGAGAGAGAGAGAGAGAGAGAGAUUUUCUUCAGAAAUGGAGACUCUAUUUCUGUGACAGAGCAGAAUGCACAUCGAGAUCCAUGGCCUCUUUAGCAGUGUCUGUCUUCCAACCUGAUCUGGAUUAGUGGCUGUUAAUUAAAGACAUUUCCACUACAGUGACAAAGCACCCAAGAAAAACAGCCUCAGGAAGAAAGAUGGUUCUUGGCUCAUGGUAUCAAACAUUUUGGUCAAAGGUUACUUUAAGGUCUAUGGAAAGGCAGAAAUGUUAUGGCAGAAGGGCAUCUCAGUAUAGGGAAAAUGUUUACCUCACGACAGACAAGGGAGGGCAGGGA